rnacentral:rRNA from 1 species
AUUGGUGAUGUUAUUGUUGCUGUAAUCAAAGACGCAUUUCCCAAAAUGCCUCUAGAAAGAUUCGAAGUAAUUCGAGAUGUAAUUGUACGUACAUGUAAAGAGUUCAAAUGCGAAGACGGUAUAAUAAUCCGCUAUGAUGACAAUGUUGCGGUUAUAAUUGAUCAAAAAGGCAAUCCAAAAGGAACUCGACUACUUCGCUAUCGGUCACCCAGGAGUAUUUAG